GAGAGGCUGCAGCGGCUCGGCGGCGGGUCUGGGAUGCGCUCGGAGAAGGAGGGAGAGGGGGGCCCAGUGUUGCCCGUUACUACGCGGGGUCCGAGCGGGAAGGAGAAGCCGUCGCCCACAGAAAGCCACUUCCGCCGGGAGUCUCAGCGGCGGGAGCCUGAAGCGCCAGUAGCCUGGUCCUCCGGCUGUGGGGGCGGUGCAGUCGAACCUCGCGAGGAAAAGAGGACGGUCCUCAGCAAGGUGGUCAUCCGGCGGCUUCCUCCCAGCCUCACCAAGGAGCAGCUGGAACAGCAGCUUCACCCCCUUCCUGCACAUGAUUACUUCGGGCUCUUUACUGCUGAUCUCAGUCUUUAUCCUCAUCUCUAUUCAAGAGCAUACAUUAAUUUUAGAAAUCCUGAUGACAUCCUGCUUUUUAGAGAUCGUUUUGAUGGAUAUAUCUUCAUUGACAGUAAAGGCCUAGAAUAUCCUGCAGUGGUAGAAUUUGCUCCAUUCCAGAAGACAGCCAAAAAGAAGCUAAAGAAAAAAGACACCCAAGCUGGAAGCAUUGAAGAUGAUCCAGAAUAUAAGAAGUUUUUAGAAACUUACUGUGUGGAGGAGGAGAAAACUAGUGCCAAUCCUGAAACUCUUCUGGGGGACAUAGAGGCAAAGACAAGAGAACUUAUUGUCACUUUGUUUCAAAGUUAUGACGCUUCUGAAUGAGCAGUAGAGAAGACAUUGGAGUGCUGUGUGCCGGGCUGCAUCAGGUAAACUUAUGUCUCAAAGUUGAAGUCAGUCAUCUUUGCAAAGAGCAGUCAUAGAAAGGAGAUGCUUUGCUUAAGUAUGAGGUCAUCUUGCUGUUGUUCAAAAAACUAUCAAGGCCCCUGAGCGAGUGAGGCAGAUGAGUGGAUAAGCCCAGCCAGAGCACAGAAUCUGGUUUGAAUCAGGCCUUCAACCCUCUACCCCCAAGUGGAAUAUUUUGGAAACGGCUCUCUCCUAGCAGCAUUCCCCCAGAACUCAAGAGUAGACGUGAAACUCCUUUCUCUAUCAGGCAACCUGCUUGUCUCUCCCAAACAUGCUUGUAAGUGUCUCCCUUCCUGCCUCUGCCGGGGCUGGGGCCUCACCGUGCAGCCCGGUGCCCCUCCCACCUGUUCUGCCCUCCCUUCCCCAUGCCUACCUCCUGCUCACCCACCAAGACUUACAGGACAGAAUGGUUACACUGUUGAUAAUUUAUCUUCUUAUUUGUCUGUCUCUCUCUGCAUUAACUCUCCUCUCACUUUGUCUCUCCACCCCUCAAGAGAACUGUAUUUUUGUCUCUGUAGUCUUAGCAUGUAAUUGCUUGAGCAAGUUUAGGUAUUUGGUAAAUAUGUGUUGAGUAAAUUAAUAAAAAAAGGUUAACAUUAUUGAAGCAUUCUUCGUUAGUCUAAUAAUGAAGUUUUAUAUUUUAUAAGAGGUGAUUUAAUGUGUGGCUCAAAGGAUCUUUAAUCACUGAAGUAUUUAUGGAGAUGUGCUUAGCACAUGUUGACUGGGUACCGACUCUGAGCCUGGGCACGGGGACAGCACUGGAACAGGACACACAGGCUUCUGCCCUCAUGCAGCUGCCCUCCUACUGGGGUGACUGUAGCAAACACAUGCAGAAAUGCUCAAGCCAGAGUAUUUCCACUUGUGAUAAGUGCCACAGACGUAAUGGAAUAGAAUAAUGGGAUAGAGAGAGAGAACCCUCUGAGACUGUAUUUGAGCCGAGACCAGCUGGGCCAAGAGAUGGAAGAAGGGGGAACUCCAAACACAAGGGCUGGAGGCUGGAGCUCUGGGCCUGCAGGAGCGGGGCGCACGCCUGUGUGCUUGGCACAUGGUGGGCAAGGAGCAGAGUAGCUGGAGAGGUGGGACCACAGCAUGAUGGGCUGGAUUUUAUUUGAGGGACAGCUGGGGACCGAGGGAGUGAUGUGGUCUGAUUGAUUUUUUUCCCCGUCACUCUGGUUGCUCCAUAAGAUGGAGAAGCUGGGCUCUGGUUAGGAGGCCCUCACUGUCGUCAGGGAAGGCUGCUUGAACGAGGGCGGCAGAGUCAGCAUGUGUUCUGGAGGUUGAACUGACCAGACUGGCUGAGGAUUGGGUGUGAGGGUAAGAAAGCAGAAAGGAUCAAAGCCUCCAGGAGCCUGACUUGAGCAGAUCAGUGGGUUAUGGCUCCAGGACUGACGUGGGGAGGAAACAGUAUUGAGGGCAAAUCGUGAUUUCACUGUAGAACAUAAAUUUCAGAAGAGUUAAACGAAGCAGCAAAUUAGAAAUUAUUUACAGAACUCACCCUCCUCGUCCUGUUUCUUUACUGCUUCUUCUUAAAUGCCCUUGUACAGGGCCGCUGCAGGGAAGUAGCAAGAUCUUUCACUUCUGGGCAGUUGUUAGAUAUCCACUUGCUGAUCACACACACAUCUCCCACCAGAGUCCAGCCACCCUCCUGCAGAGGAGGGACGAGCCUGUCCUCUCCCGUUCCCAGCAUCUCGCCCAGUGCUUGGUGCACAGUAGGUGCACCGUAAUUAUUUACUGAAUGAAUAAAUGUGACUUAGAAUCCACUAGCCCAGGACGAGCCUGUAGAACUUUGUGAUUCCUCUUUCUGCCUAUUUAAAUUUUGUCUUAAUCAGGCAAUUCAUGGCAAAUGCCUUUUUCUUUUCUUAGAUUUUGACCUUUAGUGGAUUCUUAUGGUCAAGGCUGAGCAGUGUGGGUUAAAUGCAAAUGUUAGUUCACUCUGAAGUUACAGAUUAGUGCAGGCAUAUCAGGGUCUUCAGAGCGCGGUCCCAGCUCUGAGACUUAGCAGCCGUGGGACCGGCUUCCUCAUACGUGGUUGUCGCCAAGCCUAGUAAGCGAGAACGGUUCUACUGUCGGUUAAAUCAGUGUUGUACUGCGUGGUUGUGCAUCUUGUAUUUAGUAAAUGAUACACUUUUAUGGCUUGUAAAGCACUUUCUUAUACAGGGUCCUAUUUACCCACCACAUCAGUCCUUUGGGGGAGCAAGGCGGGUGUUUGUAAGGAAGGAGGGAAGGCGGGUGGAGCCUCAGCAUUGGCUCCCCAGCCCCACCCGGGUAGGUCUCAGCUCUGCCCUAGUUGACAAGCCCAGAACCACCGCUGUACAGGGCAGAGUCCUCACUCCUCUCCAGCCCCGCCCUGACCCCAUGGGUACCAACAUCUGUGGGUGCUUAAGUCCCCUCUGUAAAAGGGCAUUAUAUUUGCACGCAGCUUACCCACAUCCUACUGUAUACGGUAAGUCAUGUCCAGAUUACUUGUAGUACCUGAUACACUGUGAAUGCUAUGGAAAUAGUUGCCACUGAGUUGCAAAGUCAAAGUUUUGCUUUUUAGAACUUUCUGGAAUUUUUUUUCCCAUAUAUUUUUGAUCCACAAUUGGUUGAAUCUGCGGAUGUGGAACCAGUGGAUACGGAGGGCCGUCUGUAUAUAAAUACGUUAUAACGUUUGGGAAGUUUAAUGUAUUGUUUUCAUUUUGCUUUUUUGCUUUAUACAUUUUUGUGAGUAAUGUAUGGGACUCCCUUAAGACUCAGGAAUUAAAUGCCUAGUGUGUAUAAGUCUGUCAGUGCCUCCAAAUUACUUGACUUUAUAGUGAUAGAGUAGGAAAGUUUUAAAAUGAUAUAGCCUUCCCUUAAUUAUUUUAAAGAUUAAAUUGAAAGCAAGUAUUUAAAAUAAAGAAAUCUUAGUUUAGAGUUAAACACUACAUUGCAAUUUUUGUAUUUUAGCUAGAAGAACCACACCUCUUUUGGAAUAUAUUAAAAGUAGAAAAUUAGAAAAGCAGAGAAUUCGAGAAGAAAAGCGAGAAGAACGGAGGAGGAGGGAGUUGGAAAGGAAGCGCUUACGGGAAGA